rnacentral:rRNA from 1 species
GAUGAACGCUGGCGGCGUGCUUAACACAUGCAAGUCGAACGAAGCACUUAAGAUUGAUUCUUCGGAUGACGUCUUUUGUGACUUAGUGGCGGACGGGUGAGGAACGCGUGGGUAACCUGCGUCACACAGGGGGAUAACAGUUAGAAAUGACUGCUAAUACCGCAUAACCCGAUAGGAACGCAUGAUCCAGACGGAAAAGAAUUAUCGGUGUGAGAUGGACCCGGGUCGGAUUAGCUAGUUGGUGAGGUAACGGCCCACCAAGGCGACGAUCAGUAGCCGGCCUGGGAGGCUGCCCCGCCACAUUGGAACUGAGACCCAGCCCCCACUCCUACGGGAAGCAGCAGUGGGGUAUAUUGCGCAAUGGGGCAAACCCUGAUGCAGCGGCGCCGCGUGAGUGAAGAAGUAUUUCGGUAUGUAAAUCUCUAUCAGCAGAGAAGAAAAUGACGGUACCUGACUAAGAAGCCCCGGCUAACUACGUG